UACUGGUAGAUUAUUUGUAUCAAAUGAAGUCAACAACUGUUAAAUUUGAACAAUUACAAUAAAGAAAGUAGAGAAUUUUAGUAGUUGAGAAAAUGAUAUCAAGCGAUAACCGUAACUGUACUUCCGAUAAAUGCAAUACCAAAAUGUUAUUUUUAAUAGGCUUUAAAAAAGACAUUUUUGUAACCAAAUCAGGCUCCUCAGCAAGUGUAGCUAGACCAUCUAUGGCACUGUAUAAUGCAAUUGUAAGUUGUAACAAUCUCAAUGACAUGGAAGGGUAUUUUGGGAUUUUAACUUUACAGAAAUAGGAGGUAUCUGAAUGGAGCAGCCUACAAAAAAGAAAAACAUCAGGUAACUUCAAACAUAUAGGAAGCAGCCACAAAAAACAUAAACUGCACAAAACAGUAAAGUAAAUUACAAAUCAGAACUUAAAUUUUUUGAAUACUUUGAUUGAAAAAGAGUAAUUCCACCUGUGAUGUGAAAGGUUACCAGCAGUCGGUAUCUAUAUUGGUUAACAUGUAACCAAAUCAUAUGUACUAAGCACCAACAAAAGAUUUUCCAUGGUGCUAGCCUAAAGUUAUCAACUUGACCUUCUCCCAAAAAUACAUGCGGAUAUCCAUUUGGGUCUAAUCUAAGUUUAUAGAGACCUAUAGAAGGAUCAUCAGGGCUCUUCGAAGUGGUUAUAGACCACUCUCUUUCUUUUACCAAAUCCCUUUCCUAGUUUCAUUCAUGUUAGCAACGUGUUAUUAUGAUAGUCGAAGCGUUGCCGGAUGCCAUAUGGAAUUAGGAUCGUUUGCGACAACAUACUGUAGAAGCGGUGUUUGUAGGGUUAGGCGCAGUUCCAAUUACGCCAAUUAGUUAACAAAUUUGGGUUCUGAAACUGGAAGUUUCAAAAUCGAUCCAAUUCUAGCAUUUUAGAACCUUAUUAUAAAACAGAAAUCGUUCUUAAUUGAACCGAUUCGAAAGGUUUAUGAAUAAUUGGAAGCAAGUCGGUGGAGCUUUGACGGUAUUCGAGGAAGUGAUUACCUGGUGCAAAGCAGAGAAGGAAGACGACGAAAGUGGAGACGAUGUAAUGUAAUCGAUGCCCCUUUUGUGUUUGGAUGGAGGAGGGAACAGGGGGUAGAAGAAGAUCCAAGGAGGGCUUAUAGCAAAUGCACGACGCACGGUGGAGGACUGAUUUUCUUGGAUGUGGAUGACUUUAGAGAGAGAUGGAGGGUUUGGAGAGGUGGUGGGGAUAUAGCGGCGAAAGAAGUGGAAUGAUCGGAAACCAAAUCAAUGAUGAAAAAAUGGUCCUUCAUCUGACAUAGAUAUAGGAGAAUGGGGAAAAUGAGUGUAAGGAUCACUCGGUGGAGCGGUGGGGGUUACACCAAGAAGGAUUAAAAAGGAUUAAUGGAGGAUGAUGACGGUGGGGGACACGUACCAAUCUCAAACUUAGCGGUGGAGAGGCUACUGAUCUCAUUUUUAUUGGUUACAUAGGGGGAUGUGGA
rnacentral:lncRNA from 1 species